UACGGGGGGGGCAAGCGUUGUUCGGAAUUACUGGGCGUAAAGGGCGCGUAGGCGGAUCUGCAAGUCGGGGGUGAAAUCCCCGGGCUCAACCCGGGAACUGCGUCCGAUACUGGAAGGCUUGAAUCCGGGAGAGGGAUGUGGAAUUCCAGGUGUAGCGGUGAAAUGCGCAGAUAUCAGGAGGAACACCGGUGGCGAAGGCGGGUCUCUGGGCAGUAACUGACGC
rnacentral:rRNA from 1 species